UCGGGAAUUUUGGGCAAUGGGCGAAAGCCUGACCCAGCAACGCCGCGUGAAGGAUGAAGUAUUUCGGUAUGUAAACUUCGUAAGAAUAGGAAGAAUAAAUGACGGUACUAUUUGUAAGGUCCGGCUAACUACGUGCCAGCAGCCGCGGUAAUACGUAGGGACCAAGCGUUGUUCGGAUUUACUGGGCGUAAAGGGCGCGUAGGCGGCGUGGUAAGUCAUCUGUGAAAUCUCCGAGCUUAACUCGGAACGGUCAGAUGAUACUGCUGUGCUAGAGUACAGAAAGGGCAAUCGGAAUUCUUGGUGUAGCGGUGAAAUGCGUAGAUAUCAAGAGGAACACCUGAGGCGAAGGCGGGUUGCUAGGCUGAUACUGACGCUGAGGCGCGAAAGCUAGGGUAGCAAACGGGAUUAGAUACCCUCGUAGUCCCUGAGCGGGCUGGCAAGGCG
rnacentral:rRNA from 1 species